AUUGAACGCUGGCGGCAUGCCUUACACAUGCAAGUCGAACGGUAACGCGGGGCAACCUGGCGACGAGUGGCGAACGGGUGAGUAAUGCAUCGGAACGUGCCCAGAAGUGGGGGAUAGCCCGGCGAAAGCCGGACUAAUACCGCAUGAGACCUGAGGGUGAAAGCGGGGGAUCGCAAGACCUCGCGCUUUUGGAGCGGCCGAUGUCAGAUUAGCUAGUUGGUGGGGUAAAGGCCUACCAAGGCGACGAUCUGUAGCUGGUCUGAGAGGACGACCAGACACACUGGGACGGAGACACGGCCCAGACUCCUACGGGAGGCAGCAGUGGGGAAUGUUGGACAAUGGGCGCAAGCCGGAUCCAGCCAUGCCGCGUGCGGGAAGAAGGCCUUCGGGUUGUAAACCGCUUUUGUCAGGGAAGAAACGCUCAGGGCUAAUACCCUGGGGUAAUGACGGUACCUGAAGAAUAAGCACCGGCUAACUACGUGCCAGCCGCCGCGGUAA
rnacentral:rRNA from 1 species